GAUCCACUGGCGAAGUGGUAUCGUGUCCGCCUGGUUUACACUAGCAUUAAAAUACUUCAGUGGAAGACACCUGUUCAAUUCGGGUCUGGGUCA